GAGGGUAUAGCUCAGUGGUAGAAUGCUUGCCUAGCAUGCAUGAGAUCCUGGGUUCAAUCCUCAGUACUUCCA
rnacentral:tRNA from 1 species